AUUGAACGCUGGCGGCAGGCCUAACACAUGCAAGUCGAGCGAGCGGCGGACGGGUGAGUAAUGUCUGGGAAACUGCCUGAUGGAGGGGGAUAACUACUGGAAACGGUAGCUAAUACCGCAUACCAUCAGAUGUGCCCAGAUGGGAUUAGCUAGUAGGUGGGGUAACGGCUCACCUAGGCGACGAUCCAUAGCUGGUCUGAGAGGAUGACCAGCCACACUGGAACUGAGACACGGGCCAUAGUCGUACGGGAGGCAGCAGUGGGGAAUAUUGCACAAUGGGCGCAAGCCUGAUGCAGCCAGGCCGCGUGUGUGAAGAAGGGUUUCGGGUUGUAAAGCACUUUCAGCGGGGAGGCGUUACCCGCAGAAGAAGCACCGGCUAACUCCGUGCCAGCAGCCGCGGUAAUAC
rnacentral:rRNA from 1 species